GACAUUUUAGCAUCUUCGUGCGAGACUAAUGGAUCUACUCACAGCCAACGUGUUUCUGCUCAAAGCCAUCGUUUUAUACUGAGAUCAGAGGCAAUAAACAUCUGCAAAAAAAAAUUCCUGUGUCCUUCGAAGCCUGGCUAGGCUCUCACGUGUUUUGCAGACUACUCGACGGUGUCUACAAGACUGCAAUCGUCUCAUUUAAAAUAUGUAAUGAGUUCAAACGCAUCACUAGUGUGGACCUCCUCGAGACAUUCAGAGCAUCAAUACACCAGCACACUCCGCAACUCCUCAAGCUAUACAGAGCAAGAAAGGGGGCAUUUGGAACAGAAAUGGAAGAUCUUCU